rnacentral:rRNA from 1 species
CCUACGAGUGGCAGCAGUGAGGAAUAUUGGUCAAUGGACGAGAGUCUGAACCAGCCAAGUAGCGUGAAGGAUGAAUGCUCUAUGGGUUGUAAACUUCUUUUAUAAAGGAAUAAAACGAGGCACGUGUGCCUUUUUGCAUGUACUUUAUGAAUAAGGAUCGGCUAACUCCGUGCCAGCAGCCGCGGUACUACGGAGGAUCCGAGCGUUAUCCGGAUUUAUUGGGUUUAACGGGAGCGUAGAUGGGUUGUUAAGUCAGUUGUGAAAGUUUGCGGCUCAACCGGAAAGUUGCAAUUGAUACUGGCAGUCUUGAGUGCAGUUGAGGUAGGCGGAAUUCGUGGUGUAGCGGUGAAAUGCUUAGAUAUCGCGAAGAACCCCGAUUGCGAAGGCAGCUUACUAAUCUGUGACUGACGUUGAGGCUCGAAAGUGUGGGUAUCAAACAGGAUUAGAUACCCGGGUAGUC